rnacentral:rRNA from 1 species
CCUACGAGAGGCAGCAGUGGGGAAUAUUGGACAAUGGGGGCAACCCUGAUCCAGCCAUGCCGCGUGUGUGAAGAAGGCCCUCGGGUUGUAAAGCACUUUCAGUGAGGAAGAACGCCUGGUGGUUAAUACCCAUCAGGAAAGACAUCACUCACAGAAGAAGCACCGGCUAACUCCGUGCCAGCAGCCGCGGUAAUACGGAGGGUGCGAGCGUUAAUCGGAAUUACUGGGCGUAAAGCGCGCGUAGGUGGCUUGAUAAGCCGGUUGUGAAAGCCCCGGGCUCAACCUGGGAACGGCAUCCGGAACUGUCAAGCUAGAGUGCAGGAGAGGAAGGUAGAAUUCCCGGUGUAGCGGUGAAAUGCGUAGAGAUCGGGAGGAAUACCAGUGGCGAAGGCGGCCUUCUGGACUGACACUGACACUGAGGUGCGAAAGCGUGGGUAGCAAACAGGAUUAGAUACCCUGGUAGUC